rnacentral:rRNA from 1 species
UCGGGACCUAAGCUGAGGCCGAAAGGCGUAGGUGAUGGACAACAGGUUGAUAUUCCUGUACUACCGAUAACCGUUUGAGAGAAGGGAUGACACAGUAGGAUAAGCUAAGCACACUGUUGGUUAUGUGUGCCCAAGCAUUGAGGCAGUCAAAGUAGGCAAAUCCGCUUUGAUAAUACUGGGAUGUGAUGGGGAGCGAAAUUUAGUAGCGAAGUAGCUGAUUUCACACUGUCAAGAAAAGUCUCUAUCGAGGUUAAAGGUACCCGUACCGCAAACCG